CUUUCUUUUUUCAGUCACAAUCACUUCUGCCUGCAAGCUGACGGAGGAGUUUGUUCAAUAGGAGAACAGAGUCUAUGGAGGCGACUAGGACCCUUAAGUCAAGUGUUUACCAGUCUGCAGGUCAUCUUCAAGAAAAGGUUUAAUACAGGAUUGCUGCAACUGGCACCAUGGACAACCACCCUGCAAUUCCACAUGGACCACAGAAAAAAAAGCGCAGGUUCCCAGCCAUCCUACGGCGUCUGUCACCGUUUCUGAUCUGUUGGCUUAUAUUCGCAUUGAUCACUGGUCUGCGCAUUUAUUGUGAGUAUAAAUUAUUC